UGCUCCAUUCGCAUUAAGUGAAAGAUGGGAAAUUUAAGGUAAUCAAUAACUGCAACAACGUUCAUAAGACCUUUCUUUAUUUGAAAUACAAAGACCAUUCGCACCCUUUCACCCACUUCGUUACAGUGUUCUCUAUUUAAAAAAAUUUAAAUCAUGAAAAUGCUCAAAAUAGUAAAAUACCACAGUCCGAGUCCACAGCAUCUCGAAUCACAAAUGUCACACUAAAUUGCAGAAUUUGGUAUGUUGUAAAUAUCUUUUCACACUUUUCCAUGACUUUUCUCAGUAUCGUUGGUAUCGUCUGCCAAGAUAAGAGGGCUGAAACCGAAAGAAUGGUGAAAUAGUUAAGGGCAUUUGUUUAUCAGUUUAUUUGGAUUUGAAAAUAGAAGAAAAUGUUAUCUACAGCAAGACGUGAGAGGAUGAGCGGCGAUUGUAAAGCGGGUACACCUUUCGGGAACACACGAGUUCGAAACGUUCUCAAGGAUUUCUGUUUUGAUGGGAAUAUUAGCGAUGGGAAUGAAGUGACUAAGGUUCUCUUAUUGGGUUGUGGUGAUCUAAGAAAUACCUUUCAAGCAACAACUUCCAAGAAUCCUCAACAUUUAGAGAUUCAUCUCAAUGAUUUAAGUCCUUCUGUCUUGGCUCGAAAUGUCAUAAUUUUGAAAAUUGUGUCAGCACAUGAUUUCAAUCUUGAAAAUGAUGAAGAUUUUGGAUUUCUGUGGGAUGUGUGGUACAAUGUUGAUUGGCCAGAAGAAACCAGGAAGAGGUUUCUUUCUAUUGUUAAGGAAUUGACGAAUGAGAAAUUACCAGAUAAUGUCACAAUUCCAAACAGUUGUCACCUAGAAAAAUUGAAGAGUUUGUGGAGUAACUGGCAUUCUGUUUCCUCUAAAAACAAAACCGAUUCUGAAUCACUCUUGAGAAAAGUCUGGGGACAAAGGAAUCAAUGCUUGUUGGACCUGUGGGCUGUCUUGUAUUCUCCAGAACAUUUACAAGAGAAAGCACAUCUGAAAAAUGCUGAUCUCUUCACUGCCUCAUUAAAUGAUCUGGCUAAGCAGUUUAUAAAUCGUGAAGAGUUCAUAGGAUUGGCACCUUGUGUUCGUAAAAAGAUUUACGAUGAAAUUCUGAAAUGUUACAGAAAUAGCAGCAGUCGCCGUCAAAAUAACGACCAACCAGUGUGCGUCAACCCAACUUUGCUGAACCCCUCCACCCAUGAUUGGAAAAUUUACUGCUUAAAUCUGUUUGAAGGUUAUCUGCCAAUGGAAAAAGGAGAGCUGAUAACUUCAGAUGAAGAAAUCAUGACCCACUACUGCUCCGAAAUACUCAAGAGAUUGGUGUCUUCCUAUUGCAGCCGGAUUCCAACAGUCAAAAUCGUUUUUCACUUAGAAGAAGCCUUAAAACAUUGCUACUCAGACGCAAACAAGUUUGACGUCAUCGACUGCUCUGAUUUCGUCAGUCGUGUUGGGUUAGCCAAUUUAGUUGUUGCAUGCUGCCAAAAGCUGUCGGAUAACCCAAAUGCAAUUUUUUAUACCGAAAUAGUGACUAACAGUCAACAUUCGGCUAACACCAUCGUCGAGACAUCCCUUUGUGCUUCAUUGUGUAUGAUUCCCACUAUUUACGGGUUAAGAUUGGCUGACCAUGUUGAAUUAAGGGAUUCUGCCGUCGAUAUGUUGCGGUCAAUCAGCAUUCGAAGAGGACGCCCAGCGAUUCUCUGCUGGCAGAAAGUACCAAACUUUCAGAACAUAAAAUUGGUCCCUUCUCCCGAUUUAAAUCGAUGCAUAACAAAGCUGGCCAAAUUCUGCCAUCAAACAACAUUUCCUAAACCUGCCUCCCUAUCGAACAGUGCUGGAAGUGAAAUCUACUACACUCCCCUAACAUUCAACUACAUUUUGGAUUCAAUCAUCAAACGACUGGGACAGGAUUGUUGGUCACCAGACCUACUUGACAUCGCUCCACAAUUCUUUCUGGCAAGAAAAACAUUGGGGGAUUGGAAGAAUGGGAAGAAAAUGAUGAAAUUGUCAGCUGGUGUUCAGCUCAUAAUGAAGUCUGCAGUCAGCCAAAAAUCAACUCCUCUACUUCGGCUAGUUUUUGUCCUCAAAGAUUCUUACAAGCUCAAUCCUGACUUAUCCGGACCUGAUGUUCACUUCAUCGACAAUAUUGAACUUGAAUUCAAGCGUACUUCAAAAGGAGUAGCAGUGGAGACGGUGUCGUUUUUACUGCCUAGCGAUCAUGGUUUUGAUGAAACGUAUUACGAUGCGAUUGUUGUCAAUGCUUUCAACGGAAUGCCACUACUUGUCUUAGACCCUUUUGAAUCAAUGCGGGUAGAGGAAUAUCUUGUACCUUACCCGAUUGGACAAAGCAAACCUCAACUUCCACUGGAUCCUAAAGGUAAAAUGUACAUGAAGGUCGAGAGUUGUAUCGAGUCAGAAAAACAGUACACCCUAAGGAUUGCCAUUGAAUGUUGUGGAAAUGUUUCAGGAUUGAAGAUAUCCACUAACGAACAGGCCCCCUGUGAAUCCUGCCAUGAAAUCACAGUUUCAUUGACUCAACCCAGCGAAAUCUAACCUUUGUCAUUAACAUUUCCAUUUCCGAUUCUUGCGAAAAAUGUUCAAGCGACGCUCCAUCGAAAAAGUCGACAUGUCGAUUUGUUGUUGGAGAAAUCUCUGCUGGAGCCCUGGCCGUGCGAGUUUCAUAGUAAAAAGUCUAAAUGGAUAAUAGACGAUUUAGUGCCCUGGGAAAACGUACCACUCACCUCUGAAGAUGUAUUCAGCAGUCUGGAACACCAUCUGAGCAGUCAGUUUUCAAUGACGGAUAUUAAAUUCUUUCUUCAGAGUCGUCAGUUGAUACCGAAUAAUAUGGAUUUAUGCCAAUUUAUUCUUUCAUCUGGAUCUGCUUUGCAUAGCUUGCGUCUCAAGCUUGGAUCAUUGAUGGCCCGUGUUGCUGAGUUUGUCAGUUACGGUCGAAAUGACGAUCGGUACCUGCUGAAGCUCCAUCUGCCCCUUCUUACUUCCCCGAUGGGAACCCCAAUUUUGCUGAUUACUGCUCUCGAUCAAAAUUAUAUGAAAAAUUUUUUAAAGGAAAUAUCUCCGGCAAACCCAACUGUGCCCAACGAAGUAAUGGAUCACUUAAAGAUUUGCCAGAAAUUUUUUCCACCCAUGGAGGACAGGUUGGUUGUGGAAGCCGAGUCAGAAGAAGAACUUCAAUUGUUUCGUUUUCUCCUGCGUUUGAACUCAACUAGAAUCGAGCCCAGCAAAUGGCAGAAGGAGAAUAUUCCUCUAGGAGGUCGCAGUCCUUGGCUUGCUACUUUUCUUUCGCCUCUCUACCAGGAUUCUCUUUACAAGGAUUUUAUAGCUGACGAGAAAUGCUGUGCUGUUUGUAAGAAAAUCCCUGAGAAGUUGAAGCGUUGCAGUCGUUGCCGUUCCACUGUUUACUGCAGUGUCGAGUGUCAGCAUUCUCAUUGGCCAAUGCAUAAACUCAUCUGCAAGAAAUUGUAAUUUGGCCAAAACUAAAUGCAGCUUAAUCCUUCACGGAAACUCUUGAAGUCUUGAUGCACAGUUAAAACGUUUUUGUAUUGAAUAACCAAGAUUACACUUGUUGUAAAAUCAA
rnacentral:misc_RNA from 1 species